GCCGACAGCUAGCUCUCUGCAACUCUCACAUGGUCACCCACUGAAGCUAAGCAGGGCUGUGCCCGGUCAGUACCUGGAUGGGAGACCACAAGGAAAAAAUAGGUUGCUGCCGGAA
rfam:Danio rerio chromosome 19 genomic contig CTG10264, GRCz11 reference primary assembly.